GACGAACGCUGGCGGCGUGCCUAAUACAUGCAUGUCGAGCGCAGGAAAUCGACGGAACCCUUCGGGGGGAAGUCGACGGAAUGAGCGGCGGACGGGUGAGUAACACGUAAAGAACCUGCCCUCAGGUCUGGGAUAACCACGAGAAAUCGGGGCUAAUACCGGAUGGGUCAUCGGACCGCAUGGUCCGAGGAUGAAAGGCGCUUCGGCGUCGCCUGGGGAUGGCUUUGCGGUGCAUUAGCUAGUUGGUGGGGUAAUGGCCCACCAAGGCGACGGUGCAUAGCCGACCUGAGAGGGCGAUCGGCCACACUGGGACUGAGACACGGCCCAGACUCCUACGGGAGGCAGCAGUAGGGAAUCUUCCACAAUGGACGAAAGUCUGAUGGAGCAACGCCGCGUGAACGAUGAAGGCCUUCGGGUCGUAAAGUUCUGUUGUAAGGGAAGAACAAGUGCCGCAGGCAAUGGCGGCACCUUGACGGUACCUUGCGAGAAAGCCACGGCUAACUACGUGCCAGCCGCCGCCGUAA
rnacentral:rRNA from 1 species